UACGAGGGGGGCGAGCGUUGUUCGGAAUUAUUGGGCGUAAAGGGUGCGUAGGCGGUUUGGUAAGUCUUGGGUGAAAUCUCUGGGCUCAACUCAGAGUCUGCACGAGAAACUGCCGGGCUUGAGUGUGGGAGAGGUGAGUGGAAUUCCUGGUGUAGCGGUGAAAUGCGUAGAUAUCAGGAGGAACACCUGUGGCGAAAGCGGCUCACUGGACCAUAACUGACGCUGAUGCACGAAAGCUAGGGGAGCAAACAGG
rnacentral:rRNA from 1 species